rnacentral:rRNA from 1 species
ACUCAAAUGAAUUGACGGGGGCCCGCACAAGCGGUGGAGCAUGUGGUUUAAUUCGACGCAACGCGAAGAACCUUACCUGGGCUUGACAUCCCCUGAAGGUGCUGGAAACAGUACCGUCCUUUCGGGGACAGGGAGACAGGUGCUGCAUGGCUGUCGUCAGCUCGUGUCGUGAGAUGUUGGGUUAAGUCCCGCAACGAGCGCAACCCUUACCCUUAGUUGCCAACGGGUAAUGCCGGGAACUCUAAGGGAACUGCCGGUGAUAAACCGGAGGAAGGUGAGGAUGACGUCAAGUCCUCAUGGCCUUUAUGCCCAGGGCUACACACGUGCUACAAUGGCCGGUACAAAGAGUUGCAAGACCGUAAGGUGGAGCCAAUCUCAAAAAGCCGGUCUCAGUUCAGAUUGCGGGCUGCAACUCGCCCGCAUGAAGGCGGAAUCGCUAGUAAUCCCGGAUCAGCAUGCCGGGGUGAAUACGUUCCCGGGCCUUGUACACACCGCCCGU